rnacentral:rRNA from 1 species
UGGGGAAUAUUGGACAAUGGGCGCAAGCCUGAUCCAGCCAUGCCGCGUGAGUGACGAAGGUCUUCGGAUUGUAAAGCUCUUUUUACCAGGGAUGAUAAUGACAGUACCUGGAGAAUAAGCUCCGGCUAACUCCGUGCCAGCAGCCGCGGUAAUACGGAGGGAGCUAGCGUUGUUCGGAAUUACUGGGCGUAAAGCGUACGUAGGCGGUGACUCAAGUCAGAGGUGAAAGCCUGGAGCUCAACUCCAGAACUGCCUUUGAAACUAGGUCGCUAGAAUCACGGAGAGGUGAGUGGAAUUCCGAGUGUAGAGGUGAAAUUCGUAGAUAUUCGGAAGAACACCAGUGGCGAAGGCGGCUCACUGGACGUGUAUUGACGCUGAGGUACGAAAGCGUGGGGAGCAAACAGGAUUAGAUACCCAAGUAGUCCCUGAGCGGGCUGGCAAGGCGCAU